UUCGGAGCGGAGCGAUGCCCAGGCACGUCCCAGUUCGGUCAGAAGCAGAGGAGGGGGACGGCGGCUGGAAGCUCGUGGUUUUCCAGGACAUGAUGAUAAGACUAGGAUGCACUCAGAGUGAAGAAUGAGGACUGUAGGAAAAUGAACAGGGCUAAGGACCAGCUUGGCUUGCUGCUGGUGGAGCCUGAGGGACACAAAGCAGGGGAAAGAAGAUGGAGGAAACUAAAGGAGGAAGACUAUCCUGUUUUAGCAGCACUGAGUUAUCAAAUGGGCUCAGUUGUAUUAUUAGUUCUGACUCUCCCAAUGGCUCUCAGGGCUUUGCCGAUUUGAGGGGAGGAAGUGGGUUAGAAAUACAUGGCCCAGGGCAAAGCUGAGAGGUGCAUGACUGGGUCCCCCUGUUUUGAGGGGACAGCCAGCCACUGGGACAGGCUAAUUGUACUGGAAAACUCCACCCUAAAUCUCUUUGAAGAUCUGCCUUUCUUUCCUUCACUUCCUUAGGCCUCUUUUGCUACUCUGUUCCAUAAAACUUUCAGGAAAAAAAUGCAUCCUUUUCUCCAAGAGCAUUUGAAUCACACCAAAGUAGGCCAGGUGAUAAUUGCGCACCACAUUGUAGUGCUGCUUAAAUGUCAGAUGUUAAUUAAAGCCUUUCCUGAAAAUGGGUCAUUAAUUAGGGCAAAUGCAGCCAUUCUUUAUGGAUUCUAACUAAUCUGUGAGUAAAAGCAUUAUUUCAACACCGGUAUUGAAAUUGUUAAUUUUUAUUUGUCUGAGGUGUGUUUGUUAUUGAAAGAAAAACAAGUGAAAAAAAUUAUAACU